rnacentral:lncRNA from 1 species
GAAAGACCCACGACAAAUACAGAAAUCCUUUUGUCCAAAUGGACAGAGUCUCUAUUAUAUUUGCACGGCGUACCACAGAAUACAAGUUACAACAACAACAUUUAUUCACAAAUUACAUUUCACAAUAUAAAAACGAAUAUCGAAAACCAUCAUUUCACAGCACAUGGCAGUACAUCUAUCAUUUGAAAUUGUUUCCUACUC